CCUACGGGCGGCAGCAGUCGAGAAUCAUUCACAAUGGGGGAAACCCUGAUGGUGCGACGCCGCGUGGGGGAAUGAAGGUCUUCGGAUUGUAAACCCCUGUCAUGUGGGAGCAAAUUAAAAAGAUAGUACCACAAGAGGAAGAGACGGCUAACUCUGUGCCAGCAGCCGCGGUAAUACAGAGGUCUCAAGCGUUGUUCGGAAUCACUGGGCGUAACGCGUGCGUAGGCUGUUUCGUAAGUCGUGUGUGAAAGGCGCGGGCUCAACCCGCGGACGGCACAUGAUACUGCGAGACUAGAGUAAUGGAGGGGGAACCGGAAUUCUCGGUGUAGCAGUGAAAUGCGUAGAUAUCGAGAGGAACACUCGGGGCGAAGGCGGGUUCCUGGACAUUAACUGACGCUGAGGCACGAAGGCCAGGGGAGCGAAAGGGAUUAGAUACCCUUGUAGUC
rnacentral:rRNA from 1 species